rnacentral:rRNA from 1 species
UACGUAGGGACCGAGCGUUGUCCGGAAUCAUUGGGCGUAAAGAGCGUGUAGGCGGCCACUUAAGUCCUGCGUGAAAUCUUGCGGCUCAACCGCAAGCGGUCGUGGGAAACUGGGUGGCUAGAGUGCGGGAGAGGAGAGUGGAAUUCCUGGUGUAGCGGUGGAAUGCGCAGAUAUCAGGAAGAACACCCGUGGCGAAGGCGGCUCUCUGGAACGCAACUGACGCUGAGACGCGAAAGCGGGGGGAGCAAACAGG